AGCCAUCUUCGCGUAAAGCGCGGCUCAUAAGGAAACAUCCCAUUCAGGGCGCAGGUACGACCGCACUUCUUUAAAUCGAGGACGUGCGUUCGUAUCUCUUGUUGCCAUGUUUUUGACGAAAUGGAUUACGUUGGUGAUGAUUUUGCUGGGAACGAACAACUGUGACGGAUGGACAACGCAUUCAAUCCAGUCUUUCGGCCAUCCACGCCCCAGCGACCUCCCUCUAAGCCGGCGUCCCCACCAUCCACCGGCGGUCCUUCCAACCCGUCUCAAUGUGUUUGCGGCUGGCUGGCCUUCAUGGUUCACCCAGUGGUUCAAUCCCAGGAGCGACGAGGUCGACAAGCCGCUGCAGCGGAUUUCUCGCCCACCUAUGAGGCCCAGCGGUGGUCAUGCCCCAGAAGCUCGGCGAGGUAACAUACCUGUGCUAAGCACGACCUUGCCCACUUCGAAUCAUACCAUACGCCUUCGAGGAGGAAGGCUACCGCACGAAGGCUUCUUGGAAAUGAAAAUCGCAGGGAAGUGGCAGUCGCUGUGUGGUGAUGCGUGGAACCAACGGCUGACAGCAAUGGCGUGCGCCGAAAUGGGCUUCAACAGAGGCGGAGAAUACGUACAAAGAAAAUAUCCCUGGCUGACUGCUCGGCAUGGUUUUGACGUGGACUGCCCAAAGGAGGUCAACAAUUUGGCACACUGCACCGUUGAAAGAACAAUGUGCACCAGCACGCGGCGAAUCAGGAUUUCUUGUCAUCGCGAUUCUGCGUCCGCCUGCAAUCCGGGUGAGCACCCGUUCCAAGGCAUGUGUCACCUAGUGAUUGCGGCCCCGAGUCUGUCACACGCGGAAGCCAAGUUGUUCUGCGAAUCGAAGGGCUCUCGACUUGUCAGCAUCAGUUCUAGUGCCAAGAAGAACUUCGUAUCCGAGUUGUUGCUAGCCCUUCAAAAAGGACUCGACCGCUGGCACACUGAUGGCGUUCGAAUCAACGGCGUCUGGACGUGGGAGGCGACUAAACAGGUGCUGACACCAGACCGGCCAUGGCAACAUCACAAUGCCAUUUCCCCGGCAGCGCCAGAGUGCCUCAUUCUGGACAGAGUGUUCCAAGAAAGGCCCCAUGGAACACCGAUCGACGAGGCGCGCCACAGGUGGAACACAGCUCACUGCUCAGAGAGGCUGCCAUUCAUAUGCGAGAGAGUGGCCUUUCCAAUAGGUUGUCGUAAACCUGACGGGGCAUACUUUGGCUCAGCGAAUGUUACGGAAACUGGAAAGCCUUGCAUACGUUGGGGGGAUCCUCGAAAUGGCCCUUCUGUGAGCAGACACUAUCCGCAAGCGUACCAAGAAAUGAAAUGGCACAACCACUGCCGUUCUCCUGACGGUGACGAUACGCCCUGGUGUUUCGUGAGUAAAUCCGAAUACGAACACUGUGAUAUACCGGAGUGCUCGGAAGUUCAAAGUCCAAGUGUUGCCAUUGUGUUCAUGAAAUGUGCUGACAACGAGUUUCAAUGCAGCCAUGACCAAUGCAUUCGAAAAGAGUGGAUCUGUGAUGGCGACGUAGACUGCCAUAAUGGAAGGGACGAAGCGAACUGCGAUCGUCUCCUCGAAAUGUUCCAUACGACGCCUAUGACUAGAAUGAGCAACUACGAGUCAGCGAGGUAUUUUUCUGUGAGCGUGACAAAGUGCGCGGCCAAGUGUGUCAACACAGCGGCGUUCACCUGUCGAUCCUUCAGCUACAUGGCGUCCGGCAGCCUCUGCAUACUUAGCGACCGCAACGUGGCUCAGACGGGUGCGCUUGUAGGCGACCCUCGGUUUGACUAUUACGAAAGGACGACUCACACUGACAACUGCACCGGCAUGUUCCGCUGUCGCAACGGAAAAUGUAUCGAAAUAAACCUCGUGUGCGACAUAGCCAAUGACUGCGGUGACCAGUCGGACGAAACAAAUUGUGUGACGCGGAUGGGCUUUCAGGUGCGCCUUCGUGGUGGACCCCAAACCUCUCCACCGCCAGCCGAAGGUCGCGUGGAGGUCAAGGUUCACGAUCAGUGGGGUCUCGUCUGCGACGACAACUGGGACACUGAGGCGGCCAACGUUGUGUGCAGGGAGCUCGGCUUCCCCCUGGGAGCCAUCGAAGCAACCAAGGAGUCGCAGCACGGACUUCCUCCCGAAGACGGCGUCGCUGAGAUAUUCAUGGACGACGUUCUGUGCGUCGGGAACGAGACGUCACUGGCCCACUGCUCCUUCCCCGGGUGGAAAAAGCACAACUGUUUCGUCAACGAGACGGCGGGAGUCCGAUGCAGAACGAAAGCGUGCGGGCAGUCGGAGCUGGAAUGUUCCGGAGCCUGCAUCCCGUACUACCUUGUGUGCAAUGAGCAAAGUGACUGCGCCGACGGUGCAGACGAGGAGUUCGAGUGCGAAAGUAAGCUGGCCAUCCGGCUCAUGGGAGGACCACACCCGUUCUCUGGAAGGCUGGAACUGCGCAGACACGGCAUCUGGGGCACAGUCUGCUCCGACGGCUUCGGACCAGCGGAGGCUCGCGUGGCAUGCGCUAUGUUGGGCAUGGCUAACGCCAGCGCCACCGUUCUCGGAAGCCUCGUCUACGGUCCUGGGAAAGGUCCCUCUUGGCUCGAAGACGUGCACUGUUUGGGUACGGAGAGUUCUCUGGAAGCGUGUCGCAGCAGCCCUUGGGGAUACAGCGACUGCAGCCACGAUAAGGACGUGGCGAUCGCGUGCAGCUCGUACCACGUGCAGCCCAAGACACCGAGUAUCGGCUCAUAUAGGGAUAUCUGCGGAAUGCCAAAGUACCAGCCUCGGAUGGACCAGGCAUCUGUGCUAUUACAAUAUCAUGCGAGCAGGAACAGGAUUCUGCACCAAAACUUCAACUCAGAUCGCCGACGAGACGCAUCACCGGGCGCAUCGUUGACGGUAUACCAGCCCAUUACGGCGCCCACCCAUGGUUGGUGGACGUGCGUCUGCGGGACCUGUCAGGAGAAACACUGCACUGGUGCGGAGGCACCAUCCUGACCCAGGACCUAAUUCUCACUGCUGCGCAUUGCUUCAAGUUUUCGCCGAACGUGUCACAACUGGUCGUACGCGUCGGACAGUACAAGCUGUACGCACCCGACCCUUACGAGCUCGAGUUCCAAGUCGAGGCCAUGCGCGUACACAGGGAUUUCAAUCCAGACACUUUCUACAACGACAUCUGCCUGCUGAAAAUUCG
rnacentral:misc_RNA from 1 species